CGGAGGAAAAGAAACCAACAGGGAUUGCCUUAGUAGCGGCGAGUGAAGCGGCAAAAGCUCAAAUUUGAAAUCUGGCUCUUUCAGAGUCCGAGUUGUAAUUUGAAGAAGGUAUCUUUGGGUCUGGCUCUUGUCUAUGUUUCUUGGAACAGAACGUCACAGAGGGUGAGAAUCCCGUGCGAUGAGAUGAUCCAGGCCUAUGUAAAGUUCCUUCGAAGAGUCGAGUUGUUUGGGAAUGCAGCUCUAAGUGGGUGGUAAAUUCCAUCUAAAGCUAAAUAUUGGCGAGAGACCGAUAGCGAACAAGUACAGUGAUGGAAAGAUGAAAAGAACUUUGAAAAGAGAGUGAAAAAGUACGUGAAAUUGUUGAAAGGGAAGGGCUUGAGAUCAGACUUGGUAUUUUGUAUGUUACUUCUUCGGGGGUGGCCUCUACAGUUUAUCGGGCCAGCAUCAGUUUGGGCGGUAGGAGAAUUGCGUUGGAAUGUGGCACGGCUUCGGUUGUGUGUUAUAGCCUUCGUCGAUACUGCCAGCCUAGACUGAGGACUGC
rnacentral:rRNA from 1 species